GGAAAGUGAAUCUUCCUGUGUUCUUAUCCUCAUUAGAAAAUCAGACUGCUAUUCUUUUAUAGAAAAUACAGGGCACAAUCAAGAUUACUCAAAGGAUUCUUCCCUUGGAGGAAGAUUUCAAGAGAUCCUCUGUGACUCGGCGGAACAAGCAUUGUGAGAGGCUGUGUCUUCAUCAGAUGUCUGCCUCUAGGAGUAAGAGAUUACAACACCCUAUAUUUAAAGACUUAGCUUCAUUCUUCAAUCUUGACAUGGACGGACUUCCUAAAUUCUGCUUACAAACAGACCCCUGACUAUUGUCAUCACGAAUUCCUUGGGGAGAGAAUCUGAUUGGAGGAGACAAACUUCCAGAUUGGUUCUCUU
rnacentral:lncRNA from 1 species